rnacentral:rRNA from 1 species
UACGAAGGGGGCUAGCGUUGCUUGGAAUUACUGGGCGUAAAGCGCACGUAGGCGGCUUUCUAAGUCGGGGGUGAAAUCCUGGAGCUCAACUCCAGAACUGCCUUCGAUACUGGAGAGCUCGAGUCCGGGAGAGGUGAGUGGAACUGCGAGUGUAGAGGUGAAAUUCGUAGAUAUUCGCAAGAACACCAGUGGCGAAGGCGGCUCACUGGCCCGGUACUGACGCUGAGGUGCGAAAGCGUGGGGAGCAAACAGG